rnacentral:rRNA from 1 species
CCGUACGGGAGGCAGCAGGUGGGGUAAUUUUGGACAAUGGGCGAAAGCCUGAUCCAGCCAUGCCGCGUGCAGGAUGAAGGCCUUCGGGUUGUAAACUGCUUUUGUACGGAACGAAACGGUCUCUUCUAAUAAAGGGGGCUAAUGACGGUACCGUAAGAAUAAGCACCGGCUAACUACGUGCCAGCAGCCGCGGUAAUACGUAGGGUGCAAGCGUUAAUCGGAAUUACUGGGCGUAAAGCGUGCGCAGGCGGUUAUAUAAGACAGUUGUGAAAUCCCGGGCUCAACCUGGGAACUGCAUCUGUGACUGUAUAGCUAGAGUACGGUAGAGGGGGAUGGAAUUCCGCGUGUAGCAGUGAAAUGCGUAGAUAUGCGGAGGAACACCGAUGGCGAAGGCAAUCCCCUGGACCUGUACUGACGCUCAUGCACGAAAGCGUGGGGAGCAAACAGGAUUAGAUACCCUGGUAGUCCACGCCUAAACGANUNAUGUGUGU